UGGUUCUUGAGUGAAGUAAUUGUAAGAAGAAAAUCUUGCUCCAGGUUGUGACUUCAUUAUUGCGUACUGAGGCUGUUUUUUAUAUCCUUAGAGACAACGAAGACAGUCCCUAUUUUUCCAAAGCCAUUCUUAAUAGAACAUUGUGACAUGUUGCAUGUGACAUGGAGGCUCAAUGGUCUAGUGGCAUGAUUCUCGCUUUGGGUGCAAGAGGUCCCGGGUUCAAAUCCCGGUUGAGCCCAUUAUUAAAGUGUAACUAAUGUUAAAGAUAGGGACUGCGUUCUUCGUCUCUAUGGAUAUAAUGAAAUGCACGGGACAUAGAGGCUCAAUGGUCUAGUGGCAUGAUUCUUGAUUUAGGUUCAAAUCCCGGUUGAGCCCAUUGUUGGAGUGUAACUAAUGUUGUCAGUGCAAUUUCCGCUUGUUUCAUUUUUCACAAAGACACUCGAAAUAGCACAUCCUUAAUGCUAUUUACUGCAGAGAACAAACCAAACUCGACUGAAUCGCAAGUCUUGCCCUGAAGUUAAGAGUACUUCCUUAUUGUAGGUGUUAUCACAUGCGCCUAACAUCCCUAACGUGCAUUUUGGAUUCGGGUCAGGCACACAUGUAGUAAUAACUUAACUACUCUGGGUCCAAGUCUUACGCAGUUGUAUAGCUACGGACUCUGUGGCGCAAUGGUAGCGCGUCUGACUCCAGAUCAAAAAGUUGCGUGUUCAAUUCAAGUCAGAGUCAGAAAAAACAGUAUUAAAACAUGGUUACAAAAUAAUGGUUCUUGAGUGAAGUAAUUGUAAGAAGAAAAUCUUGCUCCAGGUUGUAAAUUCAUUAUUGCGUACUGAAGCUGUUUUUUAUAUCCUUAGAGACAACGAAGACAGUCCUUAUUUUUCCAAAGCCAUUCUUAAUAGAACAUUGUGACAUGUUGCAUAUGACAUGGAAGCUCAAUGGUCUAGUGGCAUGAUUCUCGCUUUGGGUGCGAGAGGUCCCGAGUUCAAAUCCCGGUUGAGCCCAUUAUUAAAGUGUAACUAAUGUUAAAGAUAGGGACUGUCUUCUUCGUCUCUAUGGAUAUAAUAAAAUGCACGGGACAUAGAGGCUCAAUGGUCUAGUGGCAUGAUUCUUUCUUUAGGUUCAAAUCCCGGUUGAGCCCAUUGUUGGAGUGUAACUAAUGUUGUCAGUGCAAUUUCCGCUUGUUUCAUUUUUUACAAAGACACUCGAAAUAGCACAUCCUUAAUGCUAUUUACUGCAGAGAACAAACCAAACUCGACUGAAUCGCAAGUCUUGCCCUGAAGUUAAGAGUACUUCCUUAUUGUAGGUGUUAUCACAUGCGCCUAACAUCCCUAACGUGCCUUUUGGAUUCGGGUCAGGUACACAUGUAGUAAUAACUUAAACUACUCUGGGUCCCAGUCUUACGCAGUUGUAUAGCUAUGGACUCUGUGGCGCAAUGGUAGCGCGUCUGACUCCAGAUCAGAAGGUUGCGUGUUCAAUUCACGUAAGAGUCAGAAAAAACAGUAUUAAAACAUGGUUACAAAAUAAUGGUUCUUGAGUGAAGUAAUUGUAAAAAGAAAAUCUUGCUCCAGGUUGUGACUGUUGUGAAUGGCUACGGUCUCUGUGGCGCAAUGGUAGCGCGUCUGACUCCAGAUCAGAAGGUUGCGUGUUCAAUUCAAGUCAGAGUCUGAUGGUUCUAAUGGUUCUUGAGUGAAGUAAUUGUAAAAAGAAAAUCUUGCUCCAGGUUGUGACUGUUGUGAAUGGCUACGGUCUCUGUGGCGCAAUGGCAGCGCGUCUGACUCCAGAUCAGAAGGUUGCGUGUUCAAUUCAAGUCAGAGUCAGAAAAAACAGUAUCAAAACAUGGUUACAAAAUAAUAGUUCUUGAGUUAAGUAAUUGUAAGAAGAAAAUCUUGCUUCAGGUUGUGACUUCAUUAUUGCGUACUGAGGCUUUUUUUUAUAUACUUAGAGACAACGAAGACAGUCCCUAUUUUUCCAAAUCCAUUCUUAAUAGAACAUUGUGACAUGUUGCAUGUGACAUGGAGGCUCAAUGGUCUAGUGGCAUGAUUCUCGAUUUGGGUGCGAGAGGUCCCGGGUUCAAAUCCCGGUUGAGCCCAUUAUUAAAGUGUAACUAAUGUUAAAGAUAGGGACUGUCUUCUUCGUCUCUAUGGAUAUAAUAAAAUGCACGGGACAUAGAGGCUCAAUGGUCUAGUGGAAUAAUUCUUGAUCUAGGUUCAAAUCCCGGUUGAGCCUAUUGUUGGAGUGUAACUAAUGUUGUCAGUGCAAUUUCCGCUUGUUUCAUUUUUUACAAAGACACUCGAAAUAGCACAUCCUUAAUGCUAUUUACUGCAGAGAACAAACCAAACUCGACUGAAUCGCAAGUCUUGCCCUGAAGUUAAGAGUACUUCCUUAUUGUAGGUGUUAUCACAUGCGCCUAACAUCCCUAACGUGCCUUUUGGAUUCGGGUCAGGUACACAUGUAGUAAUAACUUAAACUACUCUGGGUCCCAGUUUUACGCAGUUCUUUAGCUACGGACUCUGUGGCGCAAUGGUAGCGCGUCUGACUCCAGAUCAGAAGGUUGCGUGUUCAAUUCACGUCAGAGCCAGAAAAAACAGUAUUAAAACAUGGUUACAAAAUAAUGGUUCUUGAGUGAAGUAAUUGUAAGAAGAAAAUCUUGCUCCAGGUUAUGACUUCAUUAUUGCGUACUGAGGCUUUUUUUCAUAUCCUUAGAGACAACGAAGACAGUCCCUAUUUUUCCAAAGCCAUUCUUAAUAGAACAUUGUGACAUGUUGCAUGUGACAUUGAGGCUCGAUAGUCUAGUGGCAUGAUUCUCGCUUUGGGUGCGAGAGGUCCCGGGUUCAAAUCCCGGUUGAGCCCAUCAUUAAACUGUACCUAAAGUUAAAGAUAGGGACUGUCUUCUUCGUCUCUAUGGAUAUAAUAAAAUGCACGGGACAUAGAGGCUCAAUGGUCUAGUGGCAUGAUUCUUGCUUUAGGUUCAAAUCCCGGUUGAGCCCAUUGUUGGAGUGUAACUAAUGUUGUCAGUGCAAUUUCCGCUUGUUUCAUUUUUUAGAAAGACACUCGAAAUAGCACAUCCUUAAUGCUAUUUACUGCAGAGAACAAACCAAACUAGACUGAAUCGCAAGUCUUGCCCUGAAGUUAAGAGUACUUCCUUAUUGUAGGUGUUAUCACAUGCGCCUAACAUCCCUAACGUGCCUUUUGGAUUCGGGUGAGGUACACAUGUAGUAAUAACUUAAGCUACUCUGGGUCCCAGUCUUACGCAGUUGUAUAGCUACGGACUCUGUGGCGCAAUGGUAGCGCGUCUGACUCCAGAUCAGAAGGUUGCGUGUUCAAUUCACGUCAGAGUCAGAAAAAACAGUAUUAAAACAUGGUUACAAAAUAAUGGUUCUUAAGUGAAGUAAUUGUAAGAAGAAAAUCUUGCUCCAGGUUAUGACUUCAUUAUUGCGUACUGAGGCUUUUUUUCAUAUCCUUAGAGAGAACGAAGACAGUCCCUAUUUUUCCAAAGCCAUUCUUAAUAGAACAUUGUGACAUGUUGCAUGUGACAUGGAAGCUCGAUGGUCUAGUGGCAUGAUUCUCGCUUUGGGUGCGAGAGGUCCCGGGUUCAAUUCCCGGUUGAGCCCAUUAUUAAAGUGUAACUAAUGUUAAAGAUAGGGACUGUCUUCUUCGUCUCUAUGGAUAUAUUAAAAUGCACAGGACAUAGAGGCUCAAUGGUCUAGUGGCAUGAUUCUUGCUUUAGGUUCAAAUCCCGGUUGAGCCCAUUGUUGGAGUGUAACUAAUGUUGUCAGUGCAAUUUCCGCUUGUUUCAUUUUUUAGAAAGACACUCGAAAUAGCGGGUCACAGUCUUACGCAGUUGUAUAGCUACGGAGACUGUGGCGCAAUGGUAGCGCGUCUGACUCCAGAUCAGAAGGUUGCGUGUUCAAUUCAAGUCAGAGUCAGAAAAAACAGUAUUAAAACAUGGUUACAAAAUAAUAGUUCUUGAGUUAAGUAAUUGUAAGAAGAAAAUCUUGCUUCAGGUUGUGACUUCAUUAUUGCGUACUGAGGCUUUUUUUCAUAUCCUUAGAGACAACGAAGACAGUCCCUAUUUUUCCAAAGCCAUUCUUAAUAGAACAUUGUGACAUGUUGCAUGUGACAUGGAGGCUCGAUGGUCUAGUGGCAUGAUUCUCGCUUUGGGUGCGAGAGGUC